rnacentral:rRNA from 1 species
UACGAAGGGGGCUAGCGUUGCUCGGAAUCACUGGGCGUAAAGGGUGCGUAGGCGGGUCUUUAAGUCAGGGGUGAAAUCCUGGAGCUCAACUCCAGAACUGCCUUUGAUACUGAAGAUCUUGAGUUCGGGAGAGGUGAGUGGAACUGCGAGUGUAGAGGUGAAAUUCGUAGAUAUCGGGAGGAACACCGGCGGCGAAGGCGGCCCACUGGACAGAUACUGACGCUGAGACUCGAAAGCGUGGGGAGCAAACAGG